CGGACUGGAGUCUGCAACCCGACUCCNCGAAGUUGGAUUCGCUAGUAAUCGCGCAUCAGCCAUGGCGCGGUGAAUACGUUCCCGGGCCUUGUACACACCGCCCGUCAAGCCAUGGGAGCCGGGGGCGCCUGAAGUCCGGGACCGCGAGGACCGGCCUAGGGCGAAACUGGUAACUGGGGCUAAGUCGUAACAAGGUACC
rnacentral:rRNA from 1 species